AGAAUCAACGCUGGCGGCGUGCCUAACACAUGCAAGUCGAACGAGAAAGUGGAGCAAUCCAUGAGUAAAGUGGCGACCGGGUGAGUAACACGUGACUAACCUACCUUCGAGUGGGGGAUAACCUCGGGAAACCGGGGCUAAUACCGCAUAACAUCUUUGAAGUGGAAACUUUGGAGAUCAAAGGAGCAAUUCGCUGGAAGAGGGGGUCGCGGCUGAUUAGCUAGUUGGCGGGGUAACGCCCACCAAGGCUUAGAUCGGUA
rnacentral:rRNA from 1 species